rnacentral:sRNA from 1 species
UGUGUACGAUUUCUCCGGGCGCGGUAGC